AGCUUUGCACAGUGGCAGUAUUGUAGCCAAUGAGGUUUAUCCGAGGCGCGAUUAUUGCUAAUUAAAUGGUUAGGUGUUGUAACUCUGGGACAGUUACCAACCCAUUUCUGGGGAUCUAAUAUCAAUUUUGUGAUUUCUUACAUGACAUUAUUUUGCUGUAAGAUCUAAAACAUUUGACUCUUUAAUUUGAAA
rnacentral:snRNA from 1 species